GGAAAAGGUUGUUAUACAAUUCUAUGAUGGAGCACUUAUAAGCAAAUGUAUCAUGUGGUUUAUUAUGCUGUAAAUAUGGUUUUCAUUGCUGUAUAGUGAUUGAGUACGAGUCACUGCCUCAUUUUGAACGUUUUAAAUAGUUGAUGCUUCACUUUGUGUAAGAUAUUUCUUAUCUGUUACCUUUAAAUCUGGUAUUGAGAUUUACUCAUUGGUUUUUUCCACUGCAGGAAAUCAAAAGGAGAGAAGAUG
rnacentral:misc_RNA from 1 species